CUGGAUCUUUGGUGCACUUGAGGCCAAGGCAGAGGACAGAGAGGCCCCUGUGACCUCUGUCACUUCCUCUGAUUUUCUCUUUCAGGGAGGAAUCACUCCUUCUUCCUCGGCUUCCCGAGCACAACCUGGCCUGCUGCAGUGGCUGAAGUUUUGGUAGAAAUUUCUUCCAGUCUUUGCUGAGACCUCACGAAUGCCUGUCUUCGAGGAGCCUGGCUGUGCUUCCCCCAGCCCUCCCAGCUGUACCAGCCCUGACUGGGUGCUGACAUCCUUUCUCCUAGGCAGGGCACUAGGGUUCAUCUAGUCCUUGUUUUUCCCCAUGCCACU